rnacentral:rRNA from 1 species
AAAAUACUAGUUGGACUGCACAUCUAAGUAGACUAGAAAAGCGAUCGACCGAGAUUUCUAUAGUAGCUGCGUGUGAAAUUGGAAAAGGAAAGCG